AACGAACGCUGGCGGCAUGCCUAACACAUGCAAGUCGAACGAGACCUUCGGGUCUAGUGGCGCACGGGUGCGUAACGCGUGGGAACCUGCCCUUAGGUUUGGAAUAACUCCCCGGAAGGGGUGCUAAUACCGGCUCAUGUCCCCGGACCAACGAUUUAUCGCCUUUGGGUGGGCGCGCGUUGGCUUAGCUAGUUGGUAGGGUAAAAGCCUACCAAGGCGACGAUCCAUAGCUGGUCUGAGAGGAUGAUCAGCCACACUGGGAGUGAGACACGGCCCGGACUCCUACGGGAGGCAGCAGUGGGGAAUAUUGGACAUUCGGCGAGAGUCUGAUCCAGCUAUGCCGCGUGAGUGAUGAAGGCCUUAGGGUUGUAAAGCUCUUUUACCCGGGAUGAUAAUGACGGUACCGGGAGAAUAAGCUCCGGCUAACUCCGUG
rnacentral:rRNA from 1 species